rnacentral:rRNA from 1 species
AUUGAACGCUGGCGGCAUGCUUUACACAUGCAAGUCGAACGGCAGCACGGGAGCAAUCCUGGUGGCGAGUGGCGAACGGGUGAGUAAAGUAUCGGAACGUGCCCAGUCGUGGGGGAUAACGUAGCGAAAGUUACGCUAAUACCGCAUACGAUCUAUGGAUGAAAGCGGGGGAUCGCAAGACCUCGCGCGAUUGGAGCGACCGAUAUCAGAUUAGGUAGUUGGUGGGGUAAAGGCUCACCAAGCCGACGAUCUGUAGCUGGUCUGAGAGGACGACCAGCCACACUGGGACUGAGACACGGCCCAGACUCCUACGGGAGGCAGCAGUGGGGAAUUUUGGACAAUGGGCGCAAGCCUGAUCCAGCCAUGCCGCGUGCAGGAUGAAGGCCUUCGGGUUGUAAACUGCUUUUGUACGGAACGAAAAGGUUUGACUUAAUACGUUGGACUCAUGACGGUACCGUAAGAAUAAGCACCGGCUAACUACGUGCCAGCCGCCGCAGUAA